GAUGAACGCUAGCUACAGGCUUAACACAUGCAAGUCGCGGGGCAGCAUGGGGGUUGCUUGCAAUCCCCGAUGGCGACCGGCGCACGGGUGAGUAACGCGUAUCCAACCUGCCCUUCACCACGGGAUAACCCGGCGAAAGUCGGACUAAUACCGUAUGUUGUCCAUUGACGGCAUCCGAUUUCGACGAAAGGUUUGGCGGUGAAGGAUGGGGAUGCGUCCGAUUAGCUGGACGGCGGGGUGACGGCCCACCGUGGCGACGAUCGGUAGGGGUUCUGAGAGGAAGGUCCCCCACACUGGAACUGAGACACGGUCCAGACUCCUACGGGAGGCAGCAGUGAGGAAUAUUGGUCAAUGGGCGUAAGCCUGAACCAGCCAAGUAGCGUGCAGGAUGACGGCCCUAUGGGUUGUAAACUGCUUUUAUGCGGGGAUAAAGUGGCCCACGUGUGGGUUUUUGCAGGUACCGCAUGAAUAAGGACCGGCUAAUUCCGUG
rnacentral:rRNA from 1 species